CUAUAUAUCUCAUUGUACAGGAGACGUCUUCUAGUUUGGAUCUGACCCUCCAGAAACAUCAAGAUGAUUUCUCCCAGUUAUCUGCUGGCUGUCAUCUUCAUUUCUAUUCAGGGAUCCUGUGGAGAGAUUGUGAUGACUCAGACUCCGGAUUCUAGCUCUGUGUCCCCGGGACAGACAGUCACCAUCACAUGUACAUCCAGUGCUGCUAUUUAUGACGCUAUAGCCUGGUACCAACAGAAACCAGGAAAGUCUCCAACACUUCUCAUCUAUGAUGCAGCCACCCGACACACAGGAGUCCCAGGCCGGUUCUCUGGUAGUAGUGGUGGAUCUCCUUACACUCGUUACACUCUGACAAUUACUGGUGUGACUGAAGCUGAUGAUGGAAAAUAUUACUGUCAGCAGGGUCAGAGCUCCACGCGCACUUUUGGUGGUGGAACCACUGUAGAAAUGAAACGAGGAGAAAAUGUCAAACCUUCUGUAUUUAUCUACCCUCCUUCAUCGGAGCAGAUUAAGUUAGGGUCAGCAAGUUCUGUGUGCUUCGUUGACCAGUACUAUCCAGGGGAUGCCAAAGUGACAUGGAAAGCAGACAACACUGUCAUAACCAAUGGUGUUGAAACCAGUGACAAGAUGAAGGAUAAAGAUAACACUUACAGUUUGAGCAGUACACUUACUAUGCCCAGUGAUGAAUAUAAAAAAUAUAAUAUUUUCACUUGUGAGGUCACACAUGUAACAUUAACGCCAGCGCUGGCCACAAGUUUCAAGGCGUCGGAAUGUACUGUUUAGGGUCCAACAACAUCCCAAGGUCCCUCCAGUGAAAACUUAGGAGUGUUUUCUCCAUGUUUUUUGUAUUUAAAAUAUUGCAUAUAUUAUGUUGAUUUUUCACAUAAUACAAGUUUUUUUGCCUUGUGAUCAGAUAUGGCAAAUGCAAUGUUAUCUGUUAUUUUAAAGCUUCUUAUCAGUUCAAAGAAAAAAAAAGUAUGUAUGUUUUGCUUUUGUCAAAAAAAUAAAUAAAAAAUGAUUCUGCUUCA